rnacentral:rRNA from 1 species
GAAAUAAGAUUUUAAAUGAGUGCUAAGAGAAUGAUUAAACAAUUAAAAGCUUUCUUUAAUUAAAAAAUUAAAUUUAAUUUUUUAGUGCAAAAGCAAAAAUAAAAUUUAGGGACAAGAAGACCCUAUGAAUUUUUAUUGUUAAUAAUUAAAAUUUAAGUUAUUAAUAAUUUAAUUGGGGUGAUAAAAAAAGAAUAAGUAUCUUUUUAGUUAUAAAAUAAGUUCCGUUUUUAGCGAUUAAAUGAAAUAAAUACUCUAGGGAUAACAGCGUAAUAAUUUUGGAUAGUUCAUAUAGAUAAAAUAGUUUGCGACCUCGAUGUUGGAUUAGGAUUCUU